rnacentral:rRNA from 1 species
GUGGGGAAUAUUGGACAAUGGGCGAAAGCCUGAUCCAGCAAUGCCGCGUGAGUGAUGAAGGCCUUAGGGUUGUAAAGCUCUUUUACCCGGGAAGAUAAUGACUGUACCGGGAGAAUAAGCCCCGGCUAACUCCGUGCCAGCAGCCGCGGUAAUACGGAGGGGGCUAGCGUUGUUCGGAAUUACUGGGCGUAAAGCGCACGUAGGCGGUUUUGUAAGUUAGAGGUGAAAGCCUGGGGCUCAACCCCAGAAUUGCCUUUAAGACUGCAUCACUUGAACGUCGGAGAGGUGAGUGGAAUUCCGAGUGUAGAGGUGAAAUUCGUAGAUAUUCUGAAGAACACCAGUGGCGAAGGCGGCUCACUGGACGACUGUUGACGCUGAGGUGCGAAAGCGUGGGGAGCAAACAGGAUUAGAUACCCCAGUAGUCC